UAGGGAAUCUUCGGCAAUGGACGAAAGUCUGACCGAGCAACGCCGCGUGAGUGAAGAAGGUUUUCGGAUCGUAAAACUCUGUUGUUAGAGAAGAACAAGGACGUUAGUAACUGAACGUCCCCUGACGGUAUCUAACCAGAAAGCCACGGCUAACUACGUGCCAGCAGCCGCGGUAAUACGUAGGUCGCAAGCGUUGUCCGGAUUUAUUGGGCGUAAAGCGAGCGCAGGCGGUUUCUUAAGUCUGAUGUGAAAGCCCCCGGCUCAACCGGGGAGGGUCAUUGGAGACCGGGAGGCUUGAGUGCAGAAGAGGAGAGUGGAAUUCGAUGUGUAGCGGUGAAAUGCGUAGAUAUAUGGAGGAACACCAGUGGCGAAGGCGGGUCUCUGGUCUGUAACUGACGCUGAGGCUCGAAAGCGUGGGGAGCAAACAGG
rnacentral:rRNA from 1 species